GAUGAACGCUGACAGAAUGCUUAACACAUGCAAGUCUUUGGCGAAGCUGUGCUUGCACAGCCUAGCCAAGGCGGACGGGUGAGUAACGCGUAAGGAACUUGCCCUGCAGUCAGGGAUAACAGACGGAAACGACUGAUAAGACCUGGUAAAGUCAGGCGGACUCAUGUCCAGCCUGAUGAAAAGAGAUGCUGCAGGAGAGCCUUGCGUCCUAUUAGCUUGUUGGUGGGGUAACGGCCCACCAAGGCGAUGAUAGGUAGCCGGCCUGAGAGGGUGGACGGCCACAAGGGGACUGAGAUACGGCCCUUACUCCUACGGGAGGCAGCAGUGGGGAAUAUUGGACAAUGGGAGCAACCCUGAUCCAGCAAUUCUGUGUGCACGAUGAAGGUUUUCGGAUUGUAAAGUGCUCUCAGCAGGGAAGAAAAAAAUGACGGUACCUGCAGAAGAAGCGACGGCUAAAUACGUG
rnacentral:rRNA from 1 species